AUUUGGAUACGAGAAGACAUUUUUUUUUUCUCUUUCCACUUCUGAUUUGUUUGUUGGAGCACUGCCUGCUCACCCUAUUUGGAUGUCAAGAGACUCUCUGUUUUUCCAUUUCUGGAAUAGUCAUUCACGACUCAGUGUUUCUUGUGCAAACCGUCAGAAUUUACAGUGUGUUUAUUGGUCUCUCACCAAAAGCAGUUUCUUUCUUGUAAUAUUUUGUUUCAAGGUUUAUCUCAGAUGCCAUUAUAUAGAUUUUGUUCACAAAAUAGUUCUAAGUUUAAGCGACUGUGUCCCUAAAGGGUCUAAGUAAUUAGAUAAUUAAAAUGUACGGGAUUUAUCUAACCUAUUGAACUAGCAAAAUUAAGACAUAAUUGAUGGGGUAAUGCAUUUUUAAUAGUAAUUUAGUGUGCAAAGGGUAUCAGUUGUGCAGAGUGUUGCAGGAAUGCACAAUAAAACAGUCACUGUGUUGAAGAGACCACGCUCAUGUUCUGUUUUUUGCCAGUUGUGCUUCACAUAUUAAGGGCAUCUUUGUGUAAAAGAGCUUGUAAAAUCUGGUAAAACAGGGGAGAACCAAUAACCCAGAAUGGGUGUUUCCUGAGAGUGCAGGUUAGGUGGUUUGAGUUUAGGGGUGUUGCAGUUGAAAGGAUAGUGGAGGUUAAGUGCAAGAUGACAGUAGCCAGAGCAUGGAGACCGGAAAAGGGCUGAGCAUUAUGAAGAAGGAGGAGUGAGGAAGAAGAGGUGUGUGGCAUAAACUGGAGCAGAAAUGGUAAGAGAAGAAAACACUGAAGGGAAGAUAAACAAACUGCAAAGCAGAAAAACAUAUAGACGUAUGACUGAAAGAGCAGCCUGUGGUAGAUUUUGUACCAGGGCCCAUUGCUGUUCUGCCCAGUGCCUAAUUAGCUUCAUACAGGGAAAUAAUAAUGAACUUCACAAUUGUCUCCUUUCAUUUUUACAACUAUGGAAGUUGAAGUGUGAAAGGAAGCUGUAGAAGCAAAUAGAGAUCUGGGGUGUGCUACAUGUACGGGAGCAUUGCCUGGGCCACUGAACAGUGCAAUGACGCAGGAGCUAUGUAUGGGAACCAGUAUUGUUACUCCAUGAAAUGAAGUAUCUGUCAAAUCAGACUUACCCUAUGACUGCUGUUCCUAUUUUACUUCUUCUCUGGCUUCCAUUAAAGUGUACAUCUUUAGGGUAGGCAGUUUGGGGGGGGCUGGCUCAAAAAGGAAAACUCCCAUCUGUCUUUUGGUUUGAGUGCUACCCUUCAAGCCUAAUGAACUGGUUCAUUAAGUUAGUAUAAUAAUCAUGUUUUAGACAUAGCCUAGUUUUAAGACCAGGCAUGAAAUAAUUCUUUGCUGAAAAUCAAGAAUGUUUGGGAAUCUUUCUUUUCUUUCUGUGGUCCUUGCUGGGUUUUGUCCAGGAUGUCCUUGGAAAUGUGAACUCCAGAUAUAUCAUGAGACAACCUGUGUUUUGUGCCAGCUGCAUGUUUCAGAAGAAAACACUGGAGGAGAUGGUUGAAUGUGCAUGCAGACUUCUGGAUGCUCAUCAGCAUUAAUUCCAAACUUCCUUUUUGGUUGCUGAUUGCUGAUCAGCGCUGUAAAGCAGCACAAACAAGACAGACAGCUUUAACCACUAAAAAUGCUCCCUCUUCUGCUCUCACAGUCUCUGUAGACCAGAAUUUUGUAAACAGCCAGAUGCAGUUUUGCUUCCAGAGAUAUCACAAUCCAGAUUUUGGUCCAACUAGCUAUUUCAGGCCAACUCAGACUCUACUGAAAGAUGGAUUUAUAAGGAAAAUGUUGUCAGAUCCUGGUCUUUUGUAACACCGGUGGGAGCCACGAUAAUAAUAAUGAUUUCCUUUAACAGUCUUCCAUCAAAUGUUCAAAGCAGUAGCUUUUCCUUUGGUACAAACAUCAAAAAUGUGGACAAUUUUGUUUCCUAAGCUUGGACAACAUCUGUGUUUCCACCAUUUCUAUGGGAAUGGAGUACACCCCCAAUUUUAUUUAAAACCACCUUUUUGGCUAAAGUGUGUGGUAUUGGAAGCACUUUCAUUCUGCCUCAUGUAUCUUGUUCUAGGAGGUUGGAGUCUGCCUGUUUCAUUCCUCCAGGACUUUUUUACUGUGAAGAGUGUAGAUGAGAACAGUGUUUUUCCUCUCAGAAUUCCUUCAAGUUGUUUGCCUAACCUAGACACCUUAAGUGUAUCUAAGUAGUUAAAUGAUUCUCAUUGAUAGUAAUGUUUUACUGCUGUUUAAGUUGCUUGUUGGCCCAAACCAGAAUCAAUUUGAGAGAUGACUGUAGUGAGCUCGGACAUCUGGAAAAAGUUAAACUGUAGCCUGGCUGCAGUUUAGUUCUUUACCUUCUGGGACAAGCCUCUUGCUUUGAACUGGGUUGGAAAUCUCUAAAUCAGUUCUGGAUGUGUGUGUGGAAAGAAGGAUAUAAGAGAAAACGGAGGAGGAUCUCACUGUUUCCAUUGCAUUUUUCUGAACUCUGCCCAGUUGGAAGGAAAGCACCUAUCUAAUGUCAGUUUAAAGACUGAGAAGGCUUGUCAGUGCACAGUAGAAGUUACAUCUUAAAAUGUGUACCCAUAUCCUGUAGGCAGGCAAUUUGUUCAUAAAAUGGCUGACAGGAAAACUGAGGAGAGAUUUGUGCUGGCUUAUGAUAUCCCACACAGAGCAAGAAAGUGCUUUCCAAAGAAGGAAGUAGCUUUUCUCUGAGCAAGAGAAGGGUAAAUGUUACACUCCUGUCUGUUUUGCUUUAGAGAUUGUAAAAAGGAUUGGCCUUCCUUGCAUGCCUCUCAUCAGGAAUGGAAAUAGGCAGGCUGUCUGAGGGAGUGGUCUUAUGUACAUGGAAACUGUUUUACGCAAGAAGAGGAGGCUGGUCCAGCAAAAGGUGUGGUUUUAUUUACAUCCAUGCUCUUCCCUCAUGAUUGGAGGGUGUUUGGAAGGUGUGGUCUCAUUUACAUCCCGCCUAGGCUGCCUUUGGCUCAUCUAGUUUCAACCCUUGUCUGUGGCUGGAAAAGGAGGGAAUUGCUGCAAGCAGAAUAAAAACUACUGUGUGAAAAAAUGUGACUGGUUUCUGCCUCUGUUUCUUCAGUGUAUGCAUUGCUGCUGGAAAUUAAAGCAUCUUGGAUCUGCAACAGCUUGACAAUUGGUCCAGACGCAUGUACAUGAGCAUCCAUAUUACUUUCACUGAGAACAGAGCUAUCAUGUUGCUUUGGUUGAGGGUGGAAAGUGGACAGAGUCCCUUCAAUGUGAAGCUCUGAUUUGUGGCUGUGUCCAGAAGCUCUGAACGCUGAAGGAGCUGCCACCAACAUGCUGGGACUGGCUGGGACUGGCUGUCCCUGCCAUGGCUGGAAGGACAACUUGGCUGCAACACGCUGUUGCUCAGUGCAAGAGCAAGAUGUUUCCAAGAAGAUAGCCUUGUGGGAUGUGCAGGUCGCAAUCCAUUUCUCUAAUUCUCACUGCUGCCUCUGAUUAUACUCCUGUAACUCAUGGUAAAAAUCUAGGUAUGACAACCUAAAGAUGCUAGCAUUUUAAAGUUACUCAGAACUCAUUUUUCAACUUUAGAUACCACUAAAUGCCUUCAUAGACAUCUGGCAAUGAGACAUUUCUCCUUUGCCCACAAAAACUUGGUGAACCUGGAAGUGCAGCUAUCUAUCACACUCUGGUGCAGAACAUGAAAGUUAAUCAAAUAUCUCCCUUCUUUUCUGUAGCCAAGGCAAGCUGAAGUGCACAAAAAUAAUUGCAUGCCGGUCCACCACAGGAGGAAAAGUGUCUGGCACUGUGUCCCUGGAUUGCAGAAAGGAAGGAGAGCCAGAAAGUUUGUUGUCAGGAUUCCUUGCACGUACUCUGGGACUGCAGCUGAAGUUUUUAAGUUACACACACAUACUUCUGAAGACAGGUACUUCAGAUGAUGUAGCCCAAGUGAGUGAUAUAUGCUAAGGAUCCCAAUGUAAAUUUACCUUUCUACACCUGAGGAGCUGACCGGUCUAAACUGCCAUCGCAGGAGCUGUGGAAGGAAAGUUGACGCCCUCCUCAAAGCAGCAAUGGAACUGUAUGAACCUGAGGUCUGUAAAUGCUGGAAAGAAGAGGCAGGAAAGGACUGCCUGCUAAUAAAAGGGGGAUGAGUGUCCAGGAAAGCAGGUGAUGACAUGGGCAUGUGGGACUGAUGGCAGAGCUCUUCCCGCAGCGUCUGAAGUGGCCAAAGACUACUCCGUCUUGUGGGAAUUCUCCAGCAGUGAAUCCUUUUGUCUGGCAUACGUUCACUUUGUUUAAUGCAAGAUUGAUGAAACAAACCAGACAAUUUGGCCUUCAGAUGCUAUAAUUGUGAACAAACUGUCCAGAACAAAGAUAUUUGGAAGACACAAACCUCACAAUCCUCUCUGACUUUUGAUUUUCCUUUCCCCAUGUUGAAUUCAUUAAUUUAGGUAUUUCGAACCAUGAUUUAAGGAAGGCCUUAACUCUGUGGAUACUGACUUCUACCAGUUCUUACAAUCGCUCCAUGGGUGGGAUUUUAGAAAAUACUCUGAGGUUGGUCUGCAGGAGAAUCCCAUUUUCCUUGUCUAAUUUAAUAGGUACAGGAUGGAAUUUUCUUUUCCACACUCUCUUACAUUAAUGAAACAGUCCAGGCUGUAACAAAUAACUGAUGUCACCACAGUUUAGAAAGUACAUAUUUAAAUGAAACUAUAAUACAGCCUUCUUACAGAUUGUGAAACUGGACAGCCUGCAACCAUCUGGCACUCCACCUCUGAAAGAAUAUCAGUAAAGACAAUGCAGUUCUUUCUGUAAGAGUGCCACCAUCUAGAUGCAGCCAUCACAGAAAGCCCCUUUCUUAAGUCAAGCUUUAUUCAACUUUCAAAGCGCAUGUGAAAAAUAAAUGUUAUUUCCAGUGCAAGCCAAAUAGUCAUAACUAUUACAUCCUUAAAUCACACUUUAUGCCUGCUUGUAUUAGUACAGGCAGUAGGAAAAACUGCAUCUCAGACGCAGCCCCAGCAAGAUUAAAUAUACUGCAAACAAGAUUAAAUAUGUUGUAUACCUCAGGGAGAAAAAGAAGUGUGGAGAGGUGGAAAUCAAUGCACAGCGGAGUUGCAUGCUGAUUAAAUUUCCCCUGAGCUGGCUUUGAUGGUCCAGGUGAGGACCUCUACUUUAGGUAUCAAAACUACUUCUUUCUAGUGAAAACUUGAAGUCAACUCCACUAAUAGGCGCUUCCAAUCUAAAAAACCUUGAAGGCAGUUUUUCUGCUCAAGGGAAGCAAAACUGCUAAUUUCAUAAAAUCUUAACCACAUUAGGAAAUAAUUAGAAAUUCAUGUCAUGAAGACAGACUUGUCCUGUAAUGACUCACAGUAGUAAUAUGGAAGGAGGAGAGACAAUGUGUUUGGUUAUAUAAGAAGCAUUUGGGUUUUCAUUUAUGACCUUCUUACUAAUGCAGGUCUUUGUAGGUAGA